rnacentral:lncRNA from 10 species
GAGAGACCAGUUAGGAGACUGUUAUGUUGAUCUUGGUGAAAGAUGAUGGAGGUCUCAACUAAAUAGCAGUAGAGAGAUGGGGCAAAGGAAAGAAAAGGCAAAACACCAAGAUCGUUACUUACCAUGCUAGGAACACGCAUGCUCGCAGAAGCCAUUACAAUCCCGUCGUGCAGCAGCCUGUGCUAUUGACCAGCCUAGAAGUCAUUUUUCGACUCAAGGGGAGAAGGGUGGGUUUCUGCUCUUUCCUUGCACCAUCUGAAGGACACGGCAGAAGAUAAAGGAAAAUGGCCAUGAGAUGCUCCAGCGGAGCUGGGUCCAAGGCCUGGCGCUCACCAAAGAUUGCACUACUCUCAGCAUGGUACAGGAAGACAACUGAUGGGACAAUGCAAGCUGGGACAAUCUCCAACCCAAAGGGUAUCUCAGAAAACAGCACUAGAGUCUGAAAUGAUUCCACCUGGUCUUAGCAGAAAGCUGGCCCGGAAGUUGUAAUACAUGAAGAUCCAACAGCCACCACGUGACCAAGAGAAAAAAGCCAAAAGAAUCACAGACCUGGCCUUCACAUUGUAGAGAUAGUCAAAUAUUGGUCCUGCCAAUACUGUUGUGCGAUAGUGACUGAGUGAUUUCCCAAAUGGAAAUGGAUGUGCUGUUACCAUAAGAAGAGAAGCUGGAUGUCGGGAAGACAAAAACAACAGAUGUCCACACUACAUCAUAACACAUAGCCGGCAGGAGCUGUGCUUGAUGCCGAAACAUUGACCUCCCAAUAAGCCAAGUCUCCAGGCCUGCUUCUUAAGGGUUUUUGUAUGGAGGAAAGAGAAAGAGAAGAAGACCCCCAAAAUGCUGAGGAUUUUCCAAGUGGAAACAGAAAGUUCAAAAGAGCUGAAGUGCCUCUUCUUCCUUCACUGAACAAAUCGUUAUCCACACCAGGAUGUGAAAUGGAAUCUCAGAGACUGAAGCUCUCAGACAUUGCACCUUCCUCCACGACGAAGACCUUAGCAAUCUUCCUACUUGUCUUUUGAGAAGUUUGAUUCACCGUAGGCUAUAAGGUGAGGUUAAGGCUGCUAUAAACCCCAGUGUUGAGGGGACAGUAAUGAAAUUCAGUAGAAAGAUUAAUGAAAAAUCAAAAUUUGUGAGACUCUACCCAGAGACCAAAAGAAGACAAAAACAUGUAUGACCAUGUAAUAUCCUGGGAUGCAAUAUGAAGAAUCAAAGUUGUUUAACUGGAAAUGAUUCUGCAUAACACAGGGUAUAAUUUCAUUUACAUAGGGAGUAUCUGGCACUUGGCAAAAUACAAACUCAGAAAAGUCUGACUAAUAUGUAAAGAUAUUUCCCUUCAUCUCCCUAUAGGAGAAGAAGACACAUGCUACAUAAGUGUAAUCUGUCCUGCUGUCCCCCAGCACAUCCUGCAGGGCUAGAGAAGAGCAGUACCUAUUUGCAUAACUAAGACUAUGUGAAAAGGAAAAAUGGUACAUGAGACUGGAAAGCUGUAGCCAGAUUCCCAAGGGCCUUGAGAAUCCAUUAAAGACUUUUGAACAACAGAAUGACAUGACUCAAAAUAUGUUUUAGGAAAAACCUAUCUGUAAUGAGAUGGGUUGGAAGGGAGGAGAGAAUAGAGACAGGCGAAGUAGAUUACUGUUUGCUGAAGUCAUAAUCGUGAGGAAUCACGAGCAUCUGAACUGGAAAAGUGGCCCCAGUGGAAAGAUAAGUAAAAGAGAAAGUCAAGAGAAAUUACAGUGCUCAAACCACAGCACCAAUCAGCUGACUAGCUGUGGGGAGUAAGGAAGCAAACAAAAUUAAGAAUUACUUUGAGAAAAGAACUUGCGACAGAACUACCAUUUGACCCAGCAACCCCACUACUAGAUACAUACCCGCAGGAAAAGAAUUCAUUCUAUCAAAAAGACACAUACACUUAUAUGUUCACUGCAGCACUAUUCACAACAGCAAAGACACAGAAUCAACCUAGGUACCCU